rnacentral:rRNA from 1 species
GACGUAGGGCGCGAGCGUUGUCCGGAAUUAUUGGGCGUAAAGAGCUCGUAGGCGGCUUGUCACGUCGGGUGUGAAAGCCCGGGGCUUAACCCCGGGUCUGCAUUCGAUACGGGCUAGCUAGAGUGUGGUAGGGGAGAUCGGAAUUCCUGGUGUAGCGGUGAAAUGCGCAGAUAUCAGGAGGAACACCGAUGGCGAAGGCAGGUCUCUGGGCCACUACUGACGCUGAGAAGCGAAAGCGUGGGGAGCGAACAGG